CAUUAUGAUGCAAAUGCAAACAAUGAAAAACAAAGUGAAAGUAUUUUAAUUUCAAUCAGAUAUAAUUUACAAUCAGAGAGAACUUUUACAUGCAAAAUGUCGGACGUCACAAGUCAUUAACUUCCGGUCAAAACGGAAACCUGAAUAAACCGGCUCACUGUCCAAACCGGCCCUUUUUCAUAGUCCCGUAGCCGGCCGGUUUAUACAGGUUUUACUGUAUAUGGUUUCAGCUUUAUUUUUUAUCUGUUUUACUCGAAAAUAUUUUGAAAUAACAAGAAACUAGAUUGUUCAGUAUUUUGUUAUUUUGAUGAAAUUCCAUACUUGAAGGCAGCAUUUUACAAAAUCAAAAACGUUUUUGUUUAGAUAUGUCUGACAAUAUUAAGAUGUAAUUUGGCAAUUUGUGUUGUUGAGUUUCAGUCUCAUUUGAGUGUACCCAGAUCGCUUUUUUACCCCUGGACAUUUUGUAAUGAUCAUGACGAUUGAAAACAUUGAACAAGUUAAUGUGCACCAAAUUUAGGCUCCAAAACAUUUGAUGUUGAAUAAAAGGGUUAUGCAAUAACAAAUACUAACUUGAUCAUGCUAAUGAAACAAAACAGAAAAGUAAUAAUUUGAAUUAUUUAGUUAGUAUUAAUGCAAUUUUGUGUAUGUUUUACUAAAAAUAAUAGCAAUGCUAUUAAGAAAUCCAGCAUAAUUAAAUUAACAAAAAAGAUCUUUUCAUCCUCUGACAUUAGAAGGUUUGUAAAAAAUGUCACUAAUGCAUUUGCAGGGAAAAGGAUAUUUAGAUUGAUAAAAAAAAUUGACUUGAAAAAACAUAAUAUGAGCAAUAGUUUCCAGUCAACUUAUUUUUCAAUAAAGCUUUUUUUUGGUGCGUUUUCUAAAUAUUUAUACUAAAAGCCAGAACAUUUGAAUCAUUUGUGAUGAAUCAAUAUAACUGUAUUUUUUACUUUUAAGAAAAUCACUUCCUUAAAUAAGUUGUAUAUAAUUACUAAGUUAUAUAUGACUGUGUCAUUGUUUUUCCUGUCUGUUUAGUUCUGUUUGUUUUUAGGAAGAGAGUUAGUACAUAUAGUGAAAUAUGAUUUCCCUGAACCCAUGUGCUCUCUGUCUUAUAAAUUCCUAUCUUAUCCUAAUCAAACUUUGUAUUAUUAAGCAUCACUACAUGUUCUUGAAUGUGUUUCAUGUACUGUCUUUUUCCUUCUUGUGGAUUUGUGAUACUUGACAGUCAAAGGAUCAGUUUAAGAGCAGGGUUUAAUGAUCUUCCUGUUUGUCUUAAAGGCGUGUCCAUAAAAUAUACUCAAGACCCAGGGAAGACACUUGUAAAUUUAUGCUUUGAACAUGUUUGGUUUUCAUCAACUGUGUUUUUUAUAUGAGACAAGAUAGUUAAUCUAGUGUUAAACUGACCUUGAGGCCUGGUUGAUUUGUAUUUGAGGUUUGAACGGGUGUCAAGUACAUUAUCGCAUGAAAAUUUAAAAUUUCUACUAAAAUGUCUUUCUUUGAUAUCUUGGUAUAUUUUAAGGUGUAAUACCACCAUUGAUUUUUCCCUAUUAGUCUUUGUUAAAUUGGCACUUUUAAAAAAAUCGUACAGUAUUUACCUUUAUUUCAACCAAAGAAAUACUUUGCAUGUGUAAAGUUCAAUCCUUUCCAGUGAUACAGUGAAAAUUUCACACUACAUUUCAUUGCAUAUAAGAAAGUAACCACCGCC
rnacentral:lncRNA from 1 species